ensembl:lncRNA
CCGGGGGCGGAGCGGAGGGAGGUGCGCCGCGCCCCGGUGAGGCGGAGCGGGCAGCCGUCCGUCGGACGCCGGGAACAAAAAAUAUUGUUUGACUGGGCUGAAUAACUGACAGUAGUGCGAAUUGCAAAGGGACGACAUCAACACAGAUUGAAUAUUCAGCGUGAAUGCUGACAUUUCUUGAACUAUGCAUAAUAGCUGGGAAGAACAAGCACAUUUCCGGAGACUUGUUGGGAGAAAUCCAUAAGAAGUAUUAGACUAUGACCAGUAUCCCGGCUUCCAGGAGCUCUGCACUCCCCCAUCACACACCCCAGGGAUGAUGAAGACCCAUCUGCCUCAGCUCAUCUCCCAGACCCUUCAUACACAUUUCACUGUGACCAGUGCUGUCACAAGUGCAGAUGGCGUACCUGCCUCGCUGGAACCAGAUGCACGUUCUACUGUCUGCUCAGUUGCCAAGGCAGAAUAAUGCAAACUGUACACAUGUGUACUCAAGAACCUCUUUCCCUCAUCCUUGGAGGAAGGAGUAAAUGAGCAAGGAGGGGAAGCCUUGGAGAACCAGACCUGGAGAAACAAUACAAGGAAGUAUUCCUAUGUUAACAGACGGCAAAAUCAUAAAGGCAACAUCUCACAGGAACUGCAGCCUGAUGGUGGCAGCAAGGAGAGUCCGCUGAUGGAAGCUCACAGCCUCACAAGAGAACCGAUGCCAACUGCCCUCAGCAGCCGGGCUCCUGAGGCCCUCUUCCAGGCUGCGGUCGGGGCGACGCGCAGCUGCUGAGCCCACAGAGGUGUGUCCUAGCAAAGAUGAGUGCUUCAAUACCACCUGCUGAAGGGAAAAUCCCUUUCCAGCGCGAGAUCUCCACGCAGCCCGGCACACCCGGACUCACCCUCACGCCGGGUAAGGCCAACAACAUGGCGGCGCAC